rnacentral:sRNA from 1 species
CCAGCUCCUCCUGGCACCUUAUCUGCCUGCAUCCUGCUCAGUGGUCCCCCGAAUGCCUGCCAAAUACACGUUAGACCUUCUAAGUCUCAUGUAGAUCCAGGACCACAGAUUAGAUGAAGUAGUUCCUCUGGUUGUCCUCACCAGUGUGGCCAUCCCCUUGUCGCUGCUGUUGGGACUACACAGAGACACUUGGCAGGAGAUCCCUGUUUACUGAUUUCCUUGUGUCGAACCAUCCUUUUAUCCUAUGUGUGAAUCGUGCAUGGAUAUGAUGCCUUUCGGGUAUGCUGUGAGUUUGCUAGCAUUUGGAGGAAGAUACAUGGAUUCAGACCUGUGCUCAUCAUAAUAUAGAGAUCCCUGCAUUGAACUCCAACCUCCUCGAUGGCGCAGGUGGUAGAAGGAGAAAUGAUCUCAGUUAUGAAAACAAUUCCAAACUUCCAGACGUAACUUCAAGAGAGCAGGGGUUUGAGUCGGGAGAAUAGCUCUUGGAGAGGGCGAAAAGCUCCACCACCUUGGGGAAGAAUCUUAAUUCCUCUACGUGGAUCUCCCUCCUUGUGUUUGUGAUUAGUCUCUGGCUCAAGCAAACUGGGAGGCUCGGGGAUGCUGCAGGAUGGAGAGCACGCACUGCUCUAGUUGGAUGAGGUUCGUGGCCUUCAAACAAAUGCAGACAGUCAGUGUGCAGGGAUGCGGAGCAGGCGGGUCUAACUGCAACCCUGACGCAUAGGGUCAGUUUGUUGGUAGGUGAGGCCUGAGAUCACACAUUCACAAAAGAACCAAACCUUCCCC